AUGUCCCCCAGAGGUCAGAAUCCUGAGCCAAUGGCUGGCAAGGAGAGUGAGAUUAUACUAAAGACAAGGGCGGAGUCGGCUUUCCCUGUGACCACUGUAGCUGGGGAAGAAAGAUACAAGGGAAACCUUUGCUGUUUUUCAGUUACCCAGCCAACAAGAAACUUGCUGAGCAGACUCCAGUGGACCUGCGAUAUACGGGGACAAGUUUGA
rnacentral:lncRNA from 1 species